UGGUGCCGAUACUCGCCUCUCGCAGAGGCUCCAGGCAAGUCCCAGAGAAGGUGAGGCUCCCUGGGAGCCUUCACGCAGGAGAACAAAAGAAAGCCCGGUGUUCCCGCUCCUCACAUAAGAAGCAUCAGGCUCACAGCCUCAUCACCUGAGGUCACGGGAACUGUUUGUCUCCCAUGCUCCAGCAACACCCACUUGCCAAGUUUUUGCUUCCUAUGGAUAUUUAUUCACCAUCUAAUGCAGACCAACUGGCAAGACUCAAGAGAAAGCUGUACACAAGGAAAAGAAAAGAAGAUGAUAGAGGAAAAUAAGAUAAUAAAGGAAAGAAGUAUUCGUGGCGGCAAA